GUAGGUGAACCUGCGGAAGGAUCAUUAGUGAAAAUCUAGCGUACCUGUUUAACCAGGGCGUGACCUCUCACUAUUCAAACUCUGUGCACUAUUUGGCAAGUGGGAAGUUCGCUUCCGACUUGCGGCUCAUCUAUAAAACACUAAAAGUCAAUGUAUGUCAAAGAAAUUUAAUAAUCAAAAAAACUUUCAACAACGGAUCUCUUGGCUCUCGCAUCGAUGAAGAACGCAGCAUCUGACUGACUACGUGGUU
rnacentral:misc_RNA from 1 species